GGCUGCGCGAGAGUGAGUGUGAAGUCUGGCCUGCCCAAUGAAUAAAUUUGAAUGGCCGCGGUAAUUUGACCGUGCGAAGGUAGCAUAGUCAGUAGUCUCUUAAUUGGAGGCUGGAAUGAAUGGUCGGACAAGAAUCAAGUUGUCUCCUCUAUAGAAUUUGAAUUUAACCUUUAAGUGAAAAGGCUUAAAUAAGCUGAAGGGACGAUAAGACCCUAUAAAACUUUACUAGAUAGAUGUACUUUUUUGAUUGAGAUGUUUAAAGGGUACUUGCAUUUUUCUCGUUUUGUUGGGGCGACAGAAAUAUAAUUUACUUUUUAUAACUGUUAGAAAAAAUAAAUAGUAAUAAUUAGUCUUUGAUCCGUACGUAGCGAUUAUAAGAUUAAGUUACUUUAGGGAUAACAGCGUAAUUUUUUUUGAGAGUUCUUAUCGACAAAAUUAGUUGCGACCUCGAUGUUGAAUUAAAGUUUCCUUUUUGUGUAGCAGCAUAUAGGGUGGGUCUGUUCGACCUUUAAAACUUU
rnacentral:rRNA from 1 species